UUAAAACAGAGUUUGAUCCUAGCUCAGGAUGAACGCUGGCGGCGUGGAUAAGGCAUGCAAGUCGAACGGACCUUGCUUUUCGGAUCGAUCGAAUGGAGUGGAGUAGCAAUACAAAACAACAUGACAUUUUGAAGAAGAGCGCUGGUUAGUGGCGAACGAGGUAGUAAAAUGUAGGUAUGUACCCCAAAGUCAUGAAUAAUUCAUCGAAAGGUGAACUAAUACAUGAUGGUCUCGAGAGAGUAAAGAUUUAUCGCUUUGGGAACAGCCUGCACGGUAUCAGCUUGUUGGUAGUGUAAUGGACUACCAAGGCUAUGACGCCUAGGGGAGGUGAGAGCCUGACCCCCACCGAUGGGACUGAGACACGGCCCAUACACCUACGGGUGGCUGCAGUCGAGAAUCUUCCACAAUGGACGAAAGUCUGAUGGAGCGACGCCGCGUGAUGGAUGAAGUCCUUACGGAUGUAAACAUCUUUUAUAGGGGAAGAAAUUUUUGACGGUACCCUAUGAAUAAGAGGCUCCUAACCUCGUGCCAGCAGGAGCGGUAAUACGAGGGCCUCGAGCGUUAUCCGGAAUUAUUGGGCGUAAAGUGUGCGUAGGCGGCAUUGUUAGUCGAGUGUUAAAUCCUAGGGCUCAACCUUAGAAUCGCAUUCGAAACGGCAAAGCUUGAGAGGAGAAGAGGUGAACAGAACUCAUGGUGUAGGGGUGAAAUCCGUUGAUAUCAUGGGGAAUACCAAAUGCGAAGGCAGUUCACUGGUCUCUUUCUGACGCUGAGGCACGAAAGCGUGGGUAGCGAAUGGGAUUAGAUACCCCAGUAGUCCACGCCCUAAACGAUGUUCUCUCGCUUUUUGGAGUAUCGACCCUCUGAGAGGCUUAGCUAACGCGAUAAGAGAACCGCCUGGGAAGUACGAUCGCAAGAUUAAAACUCAAAGGAAUAGACGGGGACUUGCACAAGCAGUGGAUUAUGUGGUUUAAUUCGACGGUAAACGAAGAACCUCACCAGGGUUUGAAACCUAAGUGAAAUCCCGGAGAAACUCGGGACCUCGCAAGACUCUUAGGCAGGUGCUGCAUGGCCGUCGUCAGUUCGUGGUUUGAAUUGUUCCCUUAAGUGGGGCAACGAACGCAACCCUUGUCAUGUGUUACAAGUGUCACAUGAGACUGCCCAGCCCUUUGCUCACAAAGCAAAGGACGGCAUAGAAAGGUACGAAUACGACGCCAAAAAAUAAACCAAAAGUAGAAGUAUCAAUUUUCUAAGCCCUUCACAAUUUUUGUGGUUAAAGGGCUGGGAGGAAGGAAAGGAUGACGCCAGGUCAGCAUGGCCCUUUGAUACCCUGGGCUACACACAUAAUACAAUGGCUACUACAACAGGAUGCGACGAGGCGACUCUGAGCAAAUCCCAUAAAGGUAGCCCCAGUUCGGAUUGAAGUCUGCAACUCGACUUCAUGAAGUUGGAAUUGCUAGUAAUCGCGGGUCAGAUAUACCGCGGUGAAUACGUUCUCAAGUCUUGUACUCACCGCCCGUCAAGUCAAGGGAGCCGGGAGUACCCGACGUCUCACCAUAAGGUGGGCCUAAGGUAAGUUCGGUAACAGGGACUAAGUCGUAACAAGGCACGGCUAGCGGAAGCUGGUCGUGGAAUAACUCAAUU
rnacentral:rRNA from 1 species